rnacentral:rRNA from 1 species
CUAUCUCACACCCAACUCUCCCCACCAUUUUGGGUCGAAGCCCUCCACACGGCCACAUACGUCCUAAACUGACGGCCCUCCUCCUCCAUCCAGUCUCAAACACCAUACUACCACCUCCUAGGACAGCACCCCUCAUACGACCAUCUGCGCAUGUUCGGUUGCCUUUGUUUUCCUAACACUUACGCCACUAAUGCCCAUAAGCUCGCCCCACGCUCCACCAAGUGCGUUUUCCUCGGCUACGCCCUCGAACACAAGGGCUACCGCUGCCUAGAUCUCCAGACUCGCAAAGUCUUAAUAUUCCGACACGUUACGUUUGAUGAGUCUGUUUUUCCUUAC